AAUAAGCUUGGCUCUGACUUUUUAUAUUAUAAAGAACUAAAGAAUACACAUGGUUUUUAUGGAUAGAGGCGAGGCAGGAAAUUAAAGUACAUUAAAUUGAACUAAUUAAAUUUUACUUUUUUUCUGAGGUAUUAUAGAUUUAUAUUAUGCCUUGAAAAGUCCCGCUAACACCAGUGCUGAAGGUUAAUCAAAAAGCGAAAGCUUGCAUUAAUUUAGUUCAAUAAAGCCUGGUUAACUUGGUGCCAGCAUCCGCGGUUAAACCAAGAAGGUUAAGUAAUAUCAGAACGGUAAAAAGACAGUUAGAUAACACAUCCUUAAUAAGUUUACUUAAUUUCUAUAAAAGGGUAGAAUUUGCAUAUAGAUAUAAAAUCUAAAGAUAACUUAUGUAUUGAACCUGUGAUAGCCUUGAGGGAAACUGGGAUUAGAUACCCCAUUAUUCUUGGCCGUAAAACAAUUGAAUUUACCAGAGUACUAUGAACUAAGAAGUUUAAAACUCAAAGAGCUUGGCGGUGUUUUAGACCUCUCAGGGGAACCUGUCUCAUAAUCGACAAUCCACGUUAUACCUAACCCUAUUUUGCUCUUACAGUUUGUAUACCGUCGUCGUCAGGUAACUUUUAAAAAUUUAGGAGUUAGCAAAAAAGCUGUGUAAGCUUACACGUCAGAUCAAGGUGCAGCCCAUAUUAGGGUGAGGAUGGGUUACAAUUAUAAAAUCAUAACUACGAAAUAAUUAUAGUAAUACAUAAUUAUAAGGAGGACUUGAAAGUAAACUAAAUUAUAAAAACAUUUUGAAUAAGGCUCUGAAACGUGCACACAUCGCCCGUCGCUCUCGUUGAAAAAUGAGAUAAGUCGUAACAUAGCAGGGGUAAUGGAAAUUGCCCCUAAGUUAAA
rnacentral:rRNA from 1 species